rnacentral:rRNA from 1 species
GUAGGUGGCAAGCGUUGUCCGGAAUUAUUGGGCGUAAAGCGCGCGCAGGCGGUUCUUUAAGUCUGAUGUGAAAGCCCACGGCUCAACCGUGGAGGGUCAUUGGAAACUGGAGAACUUGAGUACAGAAGAGGAAAGCGGAAUUCCACGUGUAGCGGUGAAAUGCGUAGAGAUGCGGAGGAACACCAGUGGCGAAGGCGGCUCUCUGGUCUGUAACUGACGCUGAGGCGCGAAAGCGUGGGGGAGCAAACAGGAUUAGAUACCCUGGUAGUCCACGCCGUAAACGAUGAGUGCUAAGUGUUAGGGGGUUUCCGCCCCUUAGUGCUGCAGCUAACGCAUUAAGCACUCCGCCUGGGAGUACGGCCGCAAGGCUG